rnacentral:rRNA from 1 species
AGGUAGUAAUUUAAAAUAAAACCUGUUUAUAUUGGCGGCAUUCAACCUUAUUAGAGGAACUUGUUCCAUAAUCGAAAACUCGCGAUAGAUUUUACUAAAAUAUAAAAUUUAUAUACCGCCGUCUAAAGAAUUAAUUAAACAACAAAAUUCUUAAUAAAAAUUAAAAAGUAAGGUCAAGGUGUAGUCUAUAUUAAAGAGAGUAAUGAGUUACUUUAAAUAUAAUUUAAGGAAAAUAUAACAAAUAAUAUUAAAAAAAUGGAUUU